AUUGAACGCUGGCGGCAGGCUUAACACAUGCAAGUCGAGCGGGGGAAGGUAGCUUGCUACCGGACCUAGCGGCGGACGGGUGAGUAAUGCUUAGGAAUCUGCCUAUUAGUGGGGGACAACAUCUCGAAAGGGAUGCUAAUACCGCAUACGUCCUACGGGAGAAAGCAGGGGAUCUUCGGUCCUUGCGCUAAUAGAUGAGCCUAAGUCGGAUUAGCUAGUUGGUGGGGUAAAGGCCUACCAAGGCGACGAUCUGUAGCGGGUCUGAGAGGAUGAACCGCCACACUGGGACUGAGACACGGCCCAGACUCCUACGGGAGGCAGCAGUGGGGAAUAUUGGACAAUGGGGGGAACCCUGAUCCAGCCAUGCCGCGUGUGUGAAGAAGGCCUUAUGGUUGUAAAGCACUUUAAGCGAGGAGGAGGCUACUUUAGUUAAUACCUAGAGAUAGUGGACGUUACUCGCAGAAUAAGCACCGGCUAACUCUGUGCCAGCCGCCGCGGUAA
rnacentral:rRNA from 1 species